rnacentral:rRNA from 1 species
GGCGAACGCUGGCGGCGUGCUUAACACAUGCAAGUCGAACGGAAACGCCGGCUUUCCUUUGUGGAUUGCGGGUACUCGAGUGGCGAACGGGCGAGUAACACGGGAGUGAUCUGCCCACAACUUGUGUAUAAGCCUGGGAAACUGUGGCUAAUUCUCGACAGGACUGCAGGGUGGUGCCUGUGGUGGAAAACGAUUUUCUAGUGGUUGGGGAUGAGCUCGCGGCUUAUGAGCUUGUUGGUGGGGUAAUGGCCUACCAAGGCGGCGACGGGUAGCCGGCCUGAGAGGGUGGACGGGGACAGUGGGAAUGAGCUACGGCCCAGAAUCCUACGCGCGGCAGCAGUGGGGAAUAUAGGACGCUGGGCGGAAGCCUGAUGCAGCGACGCAGCGUGGGUGAUGACGGGCUUCGGGUGGUAAACUCCUUUCGACCGCGAGGAGGCCAUCUGGUUGGGAGGGUGGUGACGGUAGUGGAAGAAGAAGCACCGGCUAACUACGUG